CCUACGGGUGGCAGCAGUGGGGAAUAUUGCGCAAUGGGCGAAAGCCUGACGCAGCGACGCCGCGUGAGGGAUGAAGGUUUUCGGAUCGUAAACCUCUGUCAGCAGGGAAGAAAGGUCACUGUGCUAAUCAGCAGUGAAUUGACGGUACCUGCAAAGGAAGCACCGGCUCACUCCGUGCCAGCAGCCGCGGUAAUACGGAGGGUGCGAGCGUUACUCGGAAUGACUGGGCGUAAAGCGCUCGUAGGCGGUAUGUCAAGUCAAGGGUGAAAGCCCCGCGCUCAACGUGGGAACUGCCGUUGAAACUGGCAGACUGGAGUGUGUGAGAGGGUAGUGGAAGUCCAGGUGUAGGAGUGAAAUCCGUAGAUAUCUGGAGGAACAUCAGUGGCGAAGGCGACUAUCUGGCACAUAACUGACGCUGAGGAGCGAAAGCGUGGGUAGCAAACAGGAUUAGAUACCCUUGUAGUC
rnacentral:rRNA from 1 species